GGAAGGAUGGCCGAGCGGUUUAAGGCACUGGUCUGAAAACCAGAGAUGGGCAACUAUCCGUGGGUUCGAAUCCUACUCCUUCCGCCA
rnacentral:tRNA from 1 species